rnacentral:misc_RNA from 1 species
UUUCCGUAGGUGAACCUGCGGAAGGAUCAUUGUCGAAACCUGCCCAGCAGAACGACCCGCGAACUUGUAUAAACAACUGGGGGCGGGGGGCGUUCUCGCCCCGUGCCCCCGAACGGCGGGGAGACACUCGUGCCUUCUUGCCGAACAACGAACCCCGGCGCGGUCUGCGCCAAGGAACUUCAACUAAAGAGUGCCUCCGGUCGCCUCGGAAACGGCGUGCGUGCCGGAGGCGAAUCUUGUGCAAAACCAUAACGACUCUCGGCAACGGAUAUCUCGGCUCUC